rnacentral:rRNA from 1 species
UGCAUAUCCAAAAAGCGGAGCAAAAGAAACCAACAGGGAUUGCCCCAGUAACGGCGAGUGAAGCGGCAACAGCUCAAAUUUGAAAUCUGGCCCCCCGGCCCGAGUUGUAAUUUGGAGAGGAUGCUUUUGGCACGGCGCCGUCCGAGUUCCUUGGAACAGGACGCCACAGAGGGUGAGAGCCCCGUACGGACGGACGCCUAGCCUCUACAAAGCUCCUUCGACGAGUCGAGUAGUUUGGGAAUGCUGCUCAAAAUGGGAGGUAAAUUUCUUCUAAAGCUAAAUACCGGCCAGAGACCGAUAGCGCACAAGUAGAGUGAUCGAAAGAUGAAAAGCACUUUGAAAAGAGGGUUAAAAAGUACGUGAAAUUGUUGAAAGGGAAGCGCCUGUGACCAGACUUGCGCCCCGUGGACCAUCCGGCGUUCUCGCCGGUGCACUCCGCGGGGCGCAGGCCAGCAUCGGUUCUCCUAGGGGGAUAAAGGCCGCGGGAACGUAGCUCCUUCGGGAGUGUUAUAGCCCGUGGUGGCAUGCCCCUGGGGGGACCGAGGACCGCGCUUCGGCAAGGAUGCUACGUAGACAACG